UUCAUUGGGCAUCUCUAAGAGGGGAGGGAGCACGCAGAGAAGCUCUAGACUUGUGCUACCGACAAGCCUUAGGUGAGCACCGCCUGAUACCCAACACAGCAAUGGGUCCUCCAUCCAGCCCCUGCCCUGCCCUGAUGGGAACCAACGAAGCACAUUCUAAAAAGGUUUGGUGACUUGAUUCUGCGGUCAUGAAGAGAUGGGAACAUGACAUUAGAACAGGAGACAGCCACUGCAGGAAGGGGCUGGCAUACUGACAACAGUUCCCAACCCUGAGAGGAACAGAGACCAACCACAGUGAGAAGAUGCAAAGGUUUUAGAGGCAGAAAGACUCCAAAGGCUCUAUCACUUAGUAAUUAUAGGAUUUGAGGCAAGUUAUUUGACCUCCUUGAGCUUGUUUCCUCAUCCACAGAAUGGAAAAAAUACCUUGUGAAGAACAGAGAUAAUGCAUGUAAAAUUCCUUGCAUAUAAUUGGCACUUAAUAAAUGGCAGCUAGAGUUAGAAUUUUAACUGAAUGAACACAGAUACAAGGAGCCUUUUAACUGAAGCAAAGAUAAUUAAACAUCUAAAUAGAGCAUCUAAGUGCAUGUCUGUGUUUGAACACAUUUCAUCACGUUCAUAACAACUCCGAGGGAUUAGGAAGGGGUUCAGUUGGAGAGAGAGCACCACUUGGUGGAAGAAACGUGUGUCUGGGGGUCAGACACACCUGGUUCAAAUCCCAGCAGCACUACUUCUAGCCUUGUGCCACUUGGCAGUUGGCUUCCUCAGACUCAGUUUUCUCACCCACUAAAUGGGGAGUUGUCCCAAAGAUUAAAUGUAGGCCUCUGGCCUUUAGCAGAUGCUUAUUAAAAUGCCAGUACCAUUCA